AAGCGGAGCCGGCGGAGCUCCCAGCGCCCCGUGACCGCGGCGCCCCGUGCACAGGCGGGCACGGUCACGGCUGCGGUCGGUCCCGGAGCUCGGUCACCGCCUGCUCCACGGCCACUGACAACGCGUGAAACCGAACAGCUCCUCGGCUCGCUUCAUCCGCCAGCGCGGCCGGACUCUGUUAUGUUCGAGGCGAUGGUUCAAGGAGUGAAAUUACAUACACCAAGUCUCAUACCAAUUAAGACUUUAACCACUAAUUGCCAAGAAUAAAAUAAAAGCAAUCUGAAGUGGAAAUAAGACAGCUUACAUCACGUCCAGCUUCACCAGGAGCACCAUUUGGACCAGGAGAACCCACAGGACCAGAGGGACCACGGGCACCAGGAGGACCAGAAACACCCAGGGGACCAGGUUCACCCUAAUAUAGGAACAGUGAGAUGCCUGGAAGACCACGUUCUCCCCGAGAACCAGGCAGACCAAGAAUACCAGGAGCACCAAGAAUACCCUGAGGACCUGGGGUACCAGGAGGACCCUGUGAUGUGAAGAGAAUAAUUUUUAUAUUACAAGACAAUAAUAAAUUUAACAUACAUAUCUGUCAAUGAUACUGAAGAUUUCAUUCUCAGCUGUAACUUCUGCAGAUCACAGAAGACAUUUCUACAAUUUUUUUGUUGAGAAACAAUGGGAGUAUUUCACAGAGGUGCUCACUUCAAUAAGACAGAAAUGUGUAUGACCUUAAAAAAAGCCAGUAAUUCAGAUGUGUAAGCUUAAAGAUACUCAAAAUUAAUCAAUUUAUUUGCAUAGUUCUAAGUCAACCUGGGGGAAGACAACUUUAACAUCAUGAUCCCCACAAAUCAGAGUUUCUGAUGCAGAUAUGAAUUGAGAUUGUUCUAAAUGGAUGUUCACAUGUUCCCUUUUCCAUCCAUGAUGAUCAAUUUCAGAACAGGAGACUCUGCUCCCCUUUCUCAGACUAAGUAUCAAAUUUUUUCUCAAAUUAGUCAUAUUGCUUUCAUUUGCUCUACUUACAGAGAAAGAUACAACUCGCCACAAGAAAAACGAAGAGCAAAAAAAACCCGAUCCAGGGAUCAGGUUCACUUUUUAAUGGCAUGUUUGUCAAACACACCUAUAAACAAUUUCUUGUGUCUCAGUGGAACUAUUUAAAAGCUUUGCUAAAUUUGUGGGUAAAACAGAAAAGCCCUUCACAAACAUCAAAAGUAUCUUAGAAGCCAUAACAUUUACGUAAGAGAAACACCUUUAACGAGCUGUUAUACUCAGUAACUUACAGCAGCACCGGCCUCUCCAGAUGGACCUUUCUCACCAGCAAAGCCAGGUGGGCCAGCAAUACCUUGUUCACCAGUGCGGCCAACUGGUCCAACAUCACCACGCAGACCUCUAGGACCAUCUUUGCCAGCUGGGCCAGGAGGACCAGGGGGACCAGUGAUGCCCUAGGAUUGAGUAUGAAUAUGACACCAUUACAAUAUAGACCCAUUAACUGGGGAUAUCAGAGAUAAACUUCACUUUAAGUUCAUGUAAAAAAAAA